CGCUCAUCCAGAGGGGCAGAGGGACACGGCCCGAUGAAGCCCCGGCAACCCUCCAGUCGGCUCUCGUCCUCACAGCGAGGCUCCCGGCUAGGGAAGGUGCCAAAUCCGUCUCACGGCGAGAUGCGUCGUGAGGAAGAUGAGGA
rnacentral:ncRNA from 2 species